CCUACGGGUGGCAGCAGUGGGGAAUAUUGCACAAUGGGGGGAACCCUGAUGCAGCGACGCCGCGUGAGUGAAGAAGUAUUUCGGUAUGUAAAGCUCUAUCAGCAGGGAAGAAAAUGACGGUACCUGACUAAGAAGCCCCGGCUAACUACGUGCCAGCAGCCGCGGUAAUACGUAGGGGGCAAGCGUUAUCCGGAUUUACUGGGUGUAAAGGGAGCGCAGACGGCUGUGCAAGUCUGGAGUGAAAGUCGGGGGCCCAACCCCCGGACUGCUCUGGAAACUGGAAAGCUGGAGUGCAGGAGAGGUAAGCGGAAUGCCUAGUGUAGCGGUGAAAUGCGUAGAUAUUAGGAGGAACACCAGUGGCGAAGGCGACCUGCUAGAACAUAACUGACGCUGAUGCGCGAAAGCGUGGGGAGCAAACAGGAUUAGAUACCCGUGUAGUC
rnacentral:rRNA from 1 species